UGAAGUCAUUGAUGCCAUGCUUCCGGGAAAAGCCUCUAAGCUUCAGAUAGUAAGGAAUCGUACCCCAAACCGACACAGGUGGUCGGGUAGAGAAUACCAAGGCGCUUGAGAGAACUCGGGUGAAGGAACUAGGCAAAAUGGUACCGUAACUUCGGGAGAAGGUACGCUGCCGGCGGUGAAGAGACUUGCUCUUGGAGCUGCUGGCAGUCGCAGAUACCAGGUGGCUGCAACUGUUUAUUAAAAACACAGCACUGUGCAAAAUCGAAAGAUGACGUAUACGGUGUGACGCCUGCCCGGUGCCGGAAGGUUAAUUGAUGGGGUUAGACUUCGGUCGAAGCUCUUGAUCGAAGCCCCGGUAAACGGCGGCCGUAACUAUAACGGUCCUAAGGUAGCGAAAUUCCUUGUCGGGUAAGUUCCGACCUGCACGAAUGGCGUAAUGAUGGCCACGCUGUCUCCACCCGAGACUCAGUGAAAUUGAAAUCGCAGUGAAGAUGCUGCGUACCCGCGGCUAGACGGAAAGACCCCGUGAACCUUUACUACAGCUUGGCACUGAACAUUGACCCUACAUGUGUAGGAUAGGUGGGAGGCUUUGAAACCGAGUCGCUAGAUUCGGUGGAGCCGUCCUUGAAAUACCACCCUUGUAGUGUUGAUGUUCUAACGUCGCCCCGUUAUCCGGGGUGCGGACAGUGCCUGGUGGGUAGUUUGACUGGGGCGGUCUCCUCCCAAAGCGUAACGGAGGAGCACGAAGGUGGGCUAAUCACGGUCGGACAUCGUGAGGUUAGUGCAAUGGCAUAAGCCCGCUUGACUGCGAGACUGACAAGUCGAGCAGGUGCGAAAGCAGGUCAUAGUGAUCCGGUGGUUCUGUAUGGAAGGGCCAUCGCUCAACGGAUAAAAGGUACUCCGGGGAUAACAGGCUGAUACCGCCCAAGAGUUCAUAUCGACGGCGGUGUUUGGCACCUCGAUGUCGGCUCAUCACAUCCUGGGGCUGAAGUCGGUCCCAAGGGUAUGGCUGUUCGCCAUUUAAAGUGGUACGCGAGCUGGGUUUAGAACGUCGUGAGACAGUUCGGUCCCUAUCUGCCGUGGGCGUUGGAUGAUUGAGAGGGGCUGCUCCUAGUACGAGAGGACCGGAGUGGACGAACCUCUGGUGUUCGGGUUGUGUCGCCAGACGCAUUGCCCGGUAGCUAAGUUCGGAAUCGAUAACCGCUGAAAGCAUCUAAGCGGGAAGCGAGCCUCAAGAUGAGUCAUCCCUGAACCUAUAAGGUUCCU
rnacentral:rRNA from 1 species